rnacentral:misc_RNA from 1 species
AAUGUCGUAACAAGGUUUCCGUAGGUGAACCUGCGGAAGGAUCAUUACAGUAUUCUUUUCGCCAGCGCUUAAUUGCGCGGCGAAAAAGCCUUACACACUAUGUUUUUUCAAGUUUGAAAGCUAUUGCUUUGGUCUGGCUUAGAAAUAGGUUGGGCCAAAGGUUUUAACUUACCAAAUCUUCAAUAUUUACAUGAAUUGUUAUUUAAUUUUUGGUCAAUUGUGAUAAAUUCAAAAUCUCAAAU